rnacentral:lncRNA from 12 species
AACUGGAAUGGUAUCCGAAGUUUAUUAACAGAAGAUUCUUUUUUUCAGGUGAUCAACUUUUCCACUUUGAAGCACAUGUGUGAACCCAAGUCAAGUCCCAGCAUAUCCAAUAAUUUAGUAUGUUCUGUAAAGGCAUAAAUAAAAAAUUGGGCUGGGGGGGGAAUGAAUACGAAGUUAGAUUCCAGUUCAAACAAAAGAAGGAAAAACCUACUGUUGAAUGUUAAGAACAGUUCUGAAAAUUGUGGCUUCCUGCCCCAAAAGUUCCAGUAGAAUCUGUAGAGUACCCUGGGUGAAGAUACUCUACUGGGAAAUUAAAGGUCACUCAAAGCAUGGCAUGAAUGGAGAAGAGUACCAUACACUAACUGAGCAGUGACAUGAAAUUAGCAAAAGAAAAUACAACUGUGUAAACCACUAUUCAGGUGAAGAAUAAAAUACUCAGACUUCCAGAAGAAUAAAGAAGG